GGGCUCCCCAUUCGACCC
rnacentral:snRNA from 1 species